rnacentral:rRNA from 1 species
GGGGUGCUCGAGUGGCGAACGGGUGAGUAACACGUGAGUAACCUGCCCUUGACUUUGGGAUAACUUCAGGAAACUGGGGCUAAUACCGGAUAGGAGCUCCUGCUGCAUGGUGGGGGUUGGAAAGUUUCGGCGGUUGGGGAUGGACUCGCGGCUUAUCAGCUUGUUGGUGGGGUAGUGGCUUACCAAGGCUUUGACGGGUAGCCGGCCUGAGAGGGUGACCGGCCACAUUGGGACUGAGAUACGGCCCAGACUCCUACGGGAGGCAGCAGUGGGGAAUAUUGCACAAUGGGCGGAAGCCUGAUGCAGCAACGCCGCG